rnacentral:rRNA from 1 species
AUUGAACGCUGGCGGCAGGCCUAACACAUGCAAGUCGAACAGUAACAGGAAGACGCUUGCUUCUUUGCUGACGAGUGGCGGACGGGUGAGUAAUGUCUGGGAAACUGCCUGAUGGAGGGGGAUAACUACUGGAAACGGUAGCUAAUACCGCAUAACGUCGCAAGACCAAAGAGGGGGACCUUCGGGCCUCUUGCCAUCGGAUGUGCCCAGAUGGGAUUAGCUAGUAGGUGGGGUAACGGCUCACCUAGGCGACGAUCCCUAGCUGGUCUGAGAGGAUGACCAGCCACACUGGAACUGAGACACGGUCCAGACUCCUACGGGAGGCAGCAGUGGGGAAUAUUGCACAAUGGGCGCAAGCCUGAUGCAGCCAUGCCGCGUGUAUGAAGAAGGCCUUCGGGUUGUAAAGUACUUUCAGCGGGGAGGAAGGGAGUAAAGUUAAUACCUUUGCUCAUUGACGUUACCCGCAGAAGAAGCACCGGCUAACUCCGUG